CAGUAGCCGCGGGAAUACGUAGGGUGCAAGCGUUAAUCGGAAUUACUGGGCGUAAAGCGUGCGUAGGCGGUUUGUUAAGUCUGUUGUGAAAUCCCCGGGCUCAACCUGGGAAUGGCAAUGGAUACUGGCAAGCUAGAGUGUGUCAGAGGAUGGUGGAAUUCCCGGUGUAGCGGUGAAAUGCGUAGAGAUCGGGAGGAACAUCAGUGGCGAAGGCGGCCAUCUGGGACAACACUGACGCUGAGGCACGAAAGCGUGGGGAGCAAACAGGAUUAGAUACCCCAGUAGUCCCUGUCUCUUAUAC
rnacentral:rRNA from 1 species